rnacentral:rRNA from 1 species
GGUUAAGCGACUAAGCGUACACGGUGGAUGCCCCGGCAGUCAGAGGCGAUGAAGGGCGUGCUAAUCUGCGAUAAGCGCCGGUAAGGUGAUAUGAACCGUUAUAACCGGCGAUACCCGAAUGGGGAAACCCAGUGUGAUUCGUCACACUAUCAUUAACUGAAUCCAUAGGUUAAUGAGGCGAACCGGGGAACUGAAACAUCUAAGUACCCCGAGGAAAAGAAAUCAACCGAGAUUCCCCAGUAGCGGCGAGCGAACGGGGAGGAGCCCAGAGCCUGAAUCAGCAUGUGUGUUAGUGGAAGCGUCUGGAAAGGCGCGCGAUACAGGGUGACAGCCCCGUACACAAAAGCGCAUGUGCUGUGAGCUCGAUGAGUAGGGCGGGACACGUGGUAUCCUGUCUGAAUAUGGGGGACCAUCCUCCAAGGCUAAAUACUCCUGACUGACCGAUAGUGAACCAGUACCGUGAGGGAAAGGCGAAAAGAACCCCGGCGAGGGGAGUGAAAAAGAACCUGAAACCGUGUACGUACAAGCAGUGGGAGCCCCACCACUAAGCCAGUGGUGAACUCCACAUACGCAUCCUUUGCUGAGGAUACGGUUAACGGAGCGAAAGCGACGUUCAACCGCAAAAGAAGCAGAGGGGCUUAGUGGUGGGGUGACUGCGUACCUUUGUAUAAUGGGUCAGCGACUUAUAUUCUGUAGCAAGGUUAACCGUAUAGGGAGCCGGAGGAAACCGAGUCUUAAUUGGGCGUUAAGUUGCAGGGUAUAGACCCGAAACCCGGUGAUCUAGCCAUGGGCAGGUUGAAGGUUGGGUAACACUAACUGGAGGACCGAACCGACUAAUGUUGAAAAAUUAGCGGAUGACCUGUGGCUGGGGUGAAAGGCCAAUCAAACCGGGAGAUAGCUGGUUCUCCCGAAAGCUAUUUAGGUAGCGCCUCGUGAACUCAUCUCCGGGGUAGAGCACUGUUUCGGCUAGGGGCCAUCCCGGCUUACCAACCCGAUGCAAACUGCGAAUACCGGAGAAUGUUAUCACGGGAGACACACGGCGGGUGCUAACGUCCGUCGUGAAGAGGGAAACAACCCAGACCGCCAGCUAAGGUCCCAAAGUCAUGGUUAAGUGGGAAACGAUGUGGGAAGGCCCAGCCGGGAUGUUGGCUUAGAAGCAGCCAUCAUUUAAAGAAAGCGUAAUAGCUCACUGGUCGAGUCGGCCUGCGCGGAAGAUGUAACGGGGCUAAACCAUGCACCGAAGCUGCGGCAGCGACACUGUGUGUUGUUGGGUAGGGGAGCGUUCUGUAAGCCUGUGAAGGUGUGUCGUGAGGCAUGCUGGAGGUAUCAGAAGUGCGAAUGCUGACAUAAGUAACGAUAAAGCGGGUGAAAAGCCCGCUCGCCGGAAGACCAAGGGUUCCUGUCCAACGUUAAUCGGGGCAGGGUGAGUCGACCCUAAGGCGAGGCCGAAAGGCGUAGUCGAUGGGAAACGGGUUAAUAUUCCCGUACUUGGUGUUACUGCGAAGGGGGACGGAGAAGGCUAUGUUGGCCGGGCGACGGUUGUCCCGGUUUAAGCGUGUAGGCUGGUUUUCGAGCAAAUCCGGAAAAUCAAGGCUGAGGCGUGAUGACGAGGCACUACGGUGCUGAAGCAACAAAUGCCCUGCUUCCGGAAAAGCCUCUAAGCAUCAGGUAACAUCAAAUCGUACCCCAAACCGACACAGGUGGUCAGGUAGAGAAUACCAAGGCGCUUGAGAGAACUCGGGUGAAGGAACUAGGCAAAAUGGUGCCGUAACUUCGGGAGAAGGCACGCUGACACGUAGGUGAAGUGAUUUACUCACGGAGCUGAAGUCAGUCGAAGAUACCAGCUGGCUGCAACUGUUUAUUAAAAACACAGCACUGUGCAAACACGAAAGUGGACGUAUACGGUGUGACGCCUGCCCGGUGCCGGAAGGUUAAUUGAUGGGGUCAGCGCAAGCGAAGCUCCUGAUCGAAGCCCCGGUAAACGGCGGCCGUAACUAUAACGGUCCUAAGGUAGCGAAAUUCCUUGUCGGGUAAGUUCCGACCUGCACGAAUGGCGUAAUGAUGGCGGGCUGUCUCCACCCGAGACUCAGUGAAAUUGAACUCGCUGUGAAGAUGCAGUGUACCCGCGGCAAGACGGAAAGACCCCGUGAACCUUUACUAUAGCUUGACACUGAACAUUGAGCCUUGAUGUGUAGGAUAGGUGGGAGGCUUUGAAGUGUGGACGCCAGUCUGCAUGGAGCCGACCUUGAAAUACCACCCUUUAAUGUUUGAUGUUCUAACGUGGACCCGUUACCCGGGUUGCGGACAGUGUCUGGUGGGUAGUUUGACUGGGGCGGUCUCCUCCUAAAGAGUAACGGAGGAGCACGAAGGUUGGCUAAUCUGGUCGGACAUCAGGAGGUUAGUGCAAUGGCAUAAGCCAGCUUGACUGCGAGCGUGACGGCGCGAGCAGGUGCGAAAGCAGGUCAUAGUGAUCCGGUGGUUCUGAAUGGAAGGGCCAUCGCUCAACGGAUAAAAGGUACUCCGGGGAUAACAGGCUGAUACCGCCCAAGAGUUCAUAUCGACGGCGGUGUUUGGCACCUCGAUGUCGGCUCAUCACAUCCUGGGGCUGAAGUAGGUCCCAAGGGUAUGGCUGUUCGCCAUUUAAAGUGGUACGCGAGCUGGGUUUAGAACGUCGUGAGACAGUUCGGUCCCUAUCUGCCGUGGGCGCUGGAGAACUGAGGGGGCUGCUCCUAGUACGAGAGGACCGGAGUGGACGCAUCACUGGUGUUCGGGUUGUCAUGCCAAUGGCACUGCCCGGUAGCUAAAUGCGGAAGAGAUAAGUGCUGAAAGCAUCUAAGCACGAAACUUGCCCCGAGAUGAGUUCUCCCUGAGACUUAGAGUCUCCUGAAGGAACGUUGAAGACGACGACGUUGAUAGGCCGGGUGUGUAAGCGCAGCGAUGCGUUGAGCUAACCGGUACUAAUGAACCGUGAGGCUUAACCUU